rnacentral:rRNA from 1 species
UACAGAGGGUGCGAGCGUUGUCCGGAAUCAUUGGGCGUAAAGAGCGCGUAGGCGGCCAGAUAAGUCCGGUGUGAAAGUCACAGGCUCAACCUGUGAAUGCCGCUGGAAACUGUCUGGCUAGAGUCCGGAAGGGGCGAGUGGAAUUCCUGGUGUAGCGGUGAAAUGCGCAGAUAUCAGGAGGAACACCGAUUGCGAAGGCAGCUCGCUGGGACGUUACUGACGCUGAGACGCGAAAGCGUGGGGAGCAAACAGG